UUUUAUGGAGAGUUUGAUCCUGGCUCAGGAUGAACGCUGGCGGCGUGCCUAAUACAUGCAAGUCGAGCGAACGGACGAGAAGCUUGCUUCUCUGAUGUUAGCGGCGGACGGGUGAGUAACACGUGGAUAACCUACCUAUAAGACUGGGAUAACUUCGGGAAACCGGAGCUAAUACCGGAUAAUAUUUUGAACCGCAUGGUUCAAAAGUGAAAGACGGUCUUGCUGUCACUUAUAGAUGGAUCCGCGCUGCAUUAGCUAGUUGGUAAGGUAACGGCUUACCAAGGCAACGAUGCAUAGCCGACCUGAGAGGGUGAUCGGCCACACUGGAACUGAGACACGGUCCAGACUCCUACGGGAGGCAGCAGUAGGGAAUCUUCCGCAAUGGGCGAAAGCCUGACGGAGCAACGCCGCGUGAGUGAUGAAGGUCUUCGGAUCGUAAAACUCUGUUAUUAGGGAAGAACAUAUGUGUAAGUAACUGUGCACAUCUUGACGGUACCUAUUCAGAAAGCCACGGCUAACUACGUGCCAGCAGCCGCGGUAAUACGUAGGUGGCAAGCGUUAUCCGGAAUUAUUGGGCGUAAAGCGCGCGUAGGCGGUUUUUUAAGUCUGAUGUGAAAGCCCACGGCUCAACCGUGGAGGGUCAUUGGAAACUGGAAAACUUGAGUGCAGAAGAGGAAAGUGGAAUUCCAUGUGUAGCGGUGAAAUGCGCAGAGAUAUGGAGGAACACCAGUGGCGAAGGCGACUUUCUGGUCUGUAACUGACGCUGAUGUGCGAAAGCGUGGGGAUCAAACAGGAUUAGAUACCCUGGUAGUCCACGCCGUAAACGAUGAGUGCUAAGUGUUAGGGGGUUUCCGCCCCUUAGUGCUGCAGCUAACGCAUUAAGCACUCCGCCUGGGGAGUACGACCGCAAGGUUGAAACUCAAAGGAAUUGACGGGGACCCGCACAAGCGGUGGAGCAUGUGGUUUAAUUCGAAGCAACGCGAAGAACCUUACCAAAUCUUGACAUCCUUUGACAACUCUAGAGAUAGAGCCUUCCCCUUCGGGGGACAAAGUGACAGGUGGUGCAUGGUUGUCGUCAGCUCGUGUCGUGAGAUGUUGGGUUAAGUCCCGCAACGAGCGCAACCCUUAAGCUUAGUUGCCAUCAUUAAGUUGGGCACUCUAAGUUGACUGCCGGUGACAAACCGGAGGAAGGUGGGGAUGACGUCAAAUCAUCAUGCCCCUUAUGAUUUGGGCUACACACGUGCUACAAUGGACAAUACAAAGGGCAGCGAAACCGCGAGGUCAAGCAAAUCCCAUAAAGUUGUUCUCAGUUCGGAUUGUAGUCUGCAACUCGACUACAUGAAGCUGGAAUCGCUAGUAAUCGUAGAUCAGCAUGCUACGGUGAAUACGUUCCCGGGUCUUGUACACACCGCCCGUCACACCACGAGAGUUUGUAACACCCGAAGCCGGUGGAGUAACCUUUUAGGAGCUAGCCGUCGAAGGUGGGACAAAUGAUUGGGGUGAAGUCGUAACAAGGUAGCCGUAUCGGAAGGUGCGGCUGGAUCACCUCCUUUCU
rnacentral:rRNA from 1 species